rnacentral:rRNA from 1 species
GAUCCUGGCUCAGGAUGAACGCUAGCUACAGGCUUAACACAUGCAAGUCGAGGGGAAACGAUGAGAGAGCUUGCUCUCUUAGGCGUCGACCGGCGCACGGGUGAGUAACGCGUAUCCAACCUACCCAUUACAGGGGGAUAACCUUGCGAAAGUAAGACUAAUACCCAUGGUAUUUUAUGAUGGCCUCAUUAUAGGAUUAAAGAUUUAUUGGUAAUGGAUGGGGAUGCGUCUGAUUAGCUUG